AUGAUAAAAGGCACUUGGCUUUCUGCCUUCAGCCAAUUUCCCCAUUCAUUAGUAACCUCUGAGCCUUCUUCAUUUCUCUUCCUGUUAUUUUUCUGUUUUUCAGAAACGACAUCCCUUCUGACAAAAGAACUCCAAAAAACUGGUGAUCUGAAGGUUGUUUUAGGUUCUGAGGACAUUGCUGUUGGUGUAACUCAGCCUGAUGGAUGCUCUCCCACACUGAUACGGGCUCACCAAGAGGAGACUCGAAGUGUUCUGUCUACAGUCUACAAUAGGGACCAGUGGCCCCCCUAGUGAAGGUUUCUGUGCCCUCAGCAUCUCGAGAGCUGGACGCAACAAGGAAGAGCUGAGGAGAACUGAGAGCCGCCCCUGUCGUGUCUGAAGGUGCUUUCUGGAGUAAGCAGCAAAAUCCUAGGAAAUAAACAACCUGGGUUCUAGUCUUAGAUCUGCCACUGGGCAGCCUGGUCUCAGGCAAGAUAUCUAGUCUCUCUUGGUCUUGAUUUUUCAUCUAUAAAUUAAAAGCUUAAGAUAUUCCUUAGCACUUCCUUCUAGCUCUGAAAUUCCCGAGUUCAUUAUGCUGAGCCUGAGAGCAAUCACAUGGUCUCCGUGUGUGUGCUCAGGGCAGAUGUGGGUCCAAACAGUGCGACCAGCUUGGAGUUAAGUGGGCAUAAGAAGGUUAAAGGUUUAAGCACAUUGGAGUAGCAGCUGAGCAAAGGAGGACCUCAGCUCCUGCAUAUUCCAUACAGCCGUUGUAUAGAUAGGAGAGGUAGAGAGAAAGGAGUGUGUUUUUUCCAGGGGAAAUCAAGAGAAACCAGAGUAUUUUUUUGACACCAAAGAUUAGAGACAGGUAAUGGGCAGACUGCCUUGAAAGGAGACCAAAUAUAUAACUUAAGCGGUAUGCAUGGCUAGAAAGCUCCGGUCAGUAAGGUCAUGCCUCUGUUCCUGCGACCAGCAUGGUCUGCAAUUUUCAAACUUCUUUUAGCUCUGGAAUCCUGUUGUGGCAGCUUCCACCACUUGAAGAACCAAUUGUCAUUUACUCCAUCCCCGCUUCCUACCCCUCUACACCAAGUCUCAAGUAAGCAUGAGCCUUAGAUGGUCAUGCUUUGUCUUCAGAUCCAAAGUUGAAGACUCCUAUUCAGAUGUUAAACGCAAAUGCCAGAACUAACACUUUGAGUGUCUCGCCAGGGCUAUCUACACAGACUGGACAACCAGCUUUGGAAAGGAAGCGGCCCUGAUUUAAGUGUAGGUAAAUCAAUGCUUCAUUCUCACUCUACUUGUUGUAUCAACACAGAUGUAGCAGAGAACGGGAAAUGAGAUCCAAUUGCAAUGAGGAGGAAGGAUGAAGAUGCAACUCCUCACUGUCUCCUAACCCAUUCUUGAAAGACAGCCUGGAGGAGCAGAUUCCAACCAGAGGAACCCAGCUGGAAUACCUAGGCAGCAGCCAGGAGAUGGCAGGGCCGUUUUGUGUAUGUUUUCUGUUUACUUGCUCAGUUUUUAAUGAAAGAAAUGUAUUUUUGUUCUUUAUGUGUUUUUGAAGUGUCUUAGCAUUAAAAACAUAUGUUUUUAUUUUUAGAAGAAUAAACUAUGAGUAUUUUAAUAGCAGUUCAAAAAUUGAAUUUGAUAUACUACUCCUAAGAAUGGCUUCCCUGGUGGCUCAGCUGUAAAGAAUCCACCUGCAAUGCAGGAGAUGCAAGAGAUGCGGGUUUGAUCCCUGGAGAAGGGAAUGGCAACCCACUCCAGUAUUCUUGCCUGGAAAUUUCCAUGGAUAGAGGAGCCUAGUGGGCUACAGUCCAUGGGGUCACAAAGAGUCACACACGACUGAUCACACACACACACACACACACACACACUCCUAAGAAUAUACACAUUUCUUUUAAAACAUGAUAUAUAAGGUAAUACAUAUACAUGUGUGAAUAUAUAUUAUAAAGCAACCAGGAGAGAAAAAAUAGUGAAUAUUGAUUUUUUUUUCCCCCUAGUGAGCUAUUACCUGGGAAUCACAGCCAAGGUAGGACUAUUUAGACCACUUUAUCAUUAACCUUCCUCUGUAUGUAAAUUCAUAGACAUCAGACUGUAAAAUGUGCUUGCUGCAUCGCCAAAGGAAACUGAAUUCUGAUAUAAGCCCUAUAUUUUGAAAAGGAAUGAUUCUUUCUUCUUUCUAAAGUACUCCAAAACUUCUUGCAACAGUCUGUUCUACAGUUUGGUCAUACUUAAAGAUCAUAAAGUCUUCCUGUGUCUGAAAACAGACUCUCCUGGUGCUGUCCACUGAAACUCCCUCUCUUCUGCUCCUUCCAGGGAGAAGGGAGAAGGUUGGCUUGUGUUUUCUACAGCUCCACCUCACUGCUCAGAGCUUGUUAAUUUUGUCUCUCUUCAGCCUUCUCUUCUCCAAGAUAAAUAACCCACCUCCUUCCCUGUGUACACAGCCUCCAAUCCCUGUCAUUGUUUCCUUCUUUCUAUGCAUGAAUUCUAUGCCAUUUUCAUACAUAUGUUUCAAGUUACAGACCUAAAGCGUAAUGUUCAAAUAAGAGCCUGAUCUUCGAUGAAUUUAUACAAAGAUUAGUUCCUGGCUACAAAUGAUGCUCGUCUUAACAGGGCUCAGGAGAAUAUUGCUGUCUUAAUGCCAUCACUAGGUUAAUGGCUUGUGUAUUUCUGAAACGCCAGAUCUUCUACAGCCAAGUUCAUGUCAAAAUAUAUUCUCUAUCUAGCCCUUUCUCCCCAAAGGAAGUCACUGUUAAUAAAUUUAGAUUUUAGUUCUUCCAGCAGUUUCUACAUGAGAUCUAAAUAAAUUAUCUGUUUACAACUACCUCUUUUGAUUUUCGACUUUAAACACUCAGUAGCUAUUGACUUCUCUACAUGAUGAAAGAUUUCACUCAUUUAUAUGUUUUUCUUCUCUAUCUUCUCCCCAAUUUAAUUCACAAAGUUUUAGUUCUUCAGUUAGGUAGAUGGAUAACUUAUCUGCAUGUGUAACAUAGUUAUCUCUCCAUUUCUAGAUCUAGCAGCUUUAGAAAAUAUUUAUUUACAUUAGCACACCUCUCCACCUCCAGACUUCUGUCAGGGCAUAGCUUUUAUGCUGUUAAGGGUUAUAAUAUUUACAUUGUUUUAUAAAUAUUAUUAAUUCUGAUAUUAUCAUAGAAAUAGUAUUUGUUACAGAUGCAAGAAAACAGAAAUUAAUCUAUGUCACCAAAGUCAUGCUAUGCAAAAAUAGAGUAUUCUAAGCAUCACUGUCAAAUGAAUUCUCUAUUCUUAAACUCCACCAAACCCUCAAAAUCAGCCACAUCUUAGUUUACUUCUUGUUUGAUUCCUGGAUUUUGAGGCAGUUCUAUACAUACUAUUACUGUUUGCAAGCAGUGGAAGCUGUUUAACUUAACAAAUGCAUUGGAAGGAUAUAGAAAGAAAGUGAAAGUGAAGUCGCUCAGUCGUGUCCGACUCUUUGCGACUCUUUGCGACCCCAUGGAUUGUAGCCUAUCAGGCUCCUCCAUCCAUGGGAUUUCCCAAGCAAGAGUGCUGGACUGGAUUGCCUUUUCCUUCUCCAGGGGAUCUUCCCAACGCAGGAAUCGAACCCAGGUCUUCUGCAUUGCAGGCAGACGCUUUACCGUCUGAGCCACCAAGGAAGCCCUGGAAGGAUAUAGGUAAUUCUCAAAACCAAAGGAAAGGCUAGGAACGAAUCAGGUACAGAUUUUCAGGAUAUUAGACUAUAAAACGAGAAAGAGAUCCCGCUCGUUCUUAAAAAAGAGCCCCUGACUGGUCUAUUUUGGAUCACAAGCUAGGAUGGGGAGGAGAGGGAACUUGAUUGACACCCCCAUCAAGGUUGCAUGCAAUGGUGAAGGGUAGUUCUCAAAAAUAAAAUCAAGUUGCUGUCACCAGAUCAAGCUGAGUAGACCUAACAACAGUGUUUAUCACAUACAAUACAUACAUUAGUGCUGGUCACAUUUUAAUUAGUAAAUAAUUUGAGUAGUUACCUGUUUGACAUUGUCCUUUCCCACUAGACCUUGUUCCACAAGGAGAGGUUACAUAUAUUAUUUAUUUUCUUAAUCCACAUGCCUAGCACAGCAUAUGGCACAUAGAACACUUAUUAAAUGUUUGUUGAAUACUGUUUUUUAAAAAAGAAGUCCCAAGGAUCUCUGGGAUAUACUUCAUAGACUGUCUGUAUUCGUUUACUUUACUAGAAAAUAUUUUCAGAUGGCUGAAUUGCAAUAUUAAAG
ensembl:lncRNA